rfam:Schistosoma mattheei strain Denwood, Zambia genome assembly, scaffold: SMTD_scaffold0007992
AUCCGGCUGACGAGUCCAAAAUAGGGCGAAACGCACGUCCUGGAU